UACCGUGAGGGAAAGGUGAAAAGAACCCCGGAAGGGGAGUGAAAUAGAAUCUGAAACCCUAUGUUUACAAGCAGUGGAAGCACUUUAUAUGUGCGACCGCGUACUUUUUGUAGAACGGGCCAGCGAGUUACGAUAUAUAGCAAGGUUAAACUUUUUUAAAGUGAAGCCGUAGGGAAACCAAGUCUCAAUAGGGCGUUUAGUUGUAUGUCGUAGACCCGAAACCGGGUGACCUACCCAUGAGCAGAGCGAAACGAAAGUAAAAUUUCGUGGAGGCUCGAACCGUUUAGUGUUGAAAAACUAUCGGAUGAC
rnacentral:rRNA from 1 species